rnacentral:tRNA from 1 species
UUCUAAGGAUGACCCUAGCUUUUGACUGGGUUACCAAAGCGCUCAAGUAGCGAAGCGGUAGCGCAUCAAACAUGGAUCACUUAGCAUAAGAUCAGUAAUCAAAACUGAUCACAUCCGGACCAGGCCGUCCUCAUAUCUCUUCAGAACUGUCAUGAUCUUGCCUUGAGGCAGGAUCUAGCAAGGGGCCUUAGCUCAGCUGGGAGAGCGCCUGAUUUGCAUUCAGGAGGUCAGGAGUUCGAUCCUCCUAGGCUCCACCACUCAUGCGAACGGCCCACAUAGAAUGGGUCGGUAGCUCAGGUGGUUAGAGCGCACGCCUGAUAAGCGUGAGGUCGGAGGUUCAAGUCCUCCUCGACCCACCAUUCUGCAAGAGACGAUUUGAUCGUUAAGCAUCCUGAGAUGUUUAACCGUCCAAUCGGACCGGAUCGAUGUUCCUUCGGGAAGGUUGAUCACAUUGACAUCGUUUAGAGAGAUACAAUCAACAACACUGUUGGUCACCCGCGUAAGGGAUCGACCUCAGUUUGGUGCUGAGAACGGCUUCUGUCGUUUGAUGCGAGCCUUUGCAUUCCGCCCUUUUCCUCGGGCGCGCGAGGGUCUGCCGGAUUGAAACCACAGUGUUGUCCAAGUCAAGUACACUAACCCGGUUCAUAUUCCGCAAGGUUUAUGAACCAAUGUUCACUUCUAUGAAGUGAGCGGGAAAGUAUGCUUUUGGUUCAGAAUAAGGCCACAGUUUCUUACCAGCUUCUGUGGCGUGACAGUUCACUGUCUUUUUCUGG